GUCAGCUUAUGAAACCAUAUCAAUAUCUUAUGACUCGAGAACAUGGGAACAUAUCUCAAGUCAUACUGGCCCUAAAUUGAUAUGGAUCAUAUAGCAGAGCAAAAACAAUGAGUCUAGCAUUGAACACUGCAAUUAAAUGAAACUAGUAGGCCCAACAGACAGAAUAGUAUAGUAUGGUUCAAGAUAAAACAUCAACCCAACACAAAUCACCAAGCUGAUAGU
rnacentral:misc_RNA from 1 species